rnacentral:rRNA from 1 species
UACGUAGGGUGCAAGCGUUGUCCGGAAUUAUUGGGCGUAAAGAGCUCGUAGGCGGUCUGUUGCGUCGGCUGUGAAAACCCGAGGCUCAACCUCGGGCCUGCAGCCGAUACGGGCAGACUAGAGUUCGGCAGGGGAGACUGGAAUUCCUGGUGUAGCGGUGAAAUGCGCAGAUAUCAGGAGGAACACCGGUGGCGAAGGCGGAUCUCUGGGCCUUACCUGACGCUCAGGCGCGAAAGCUAGGGGAGCGAACAGG